UCUGGCGUCGUCUAAAGGCAGGACAAGGGACUUUGAAUCCCUGAAUCUAGGUUCGAGUCCUAGCGCCAGAACCA
rnacentral:tRNA from 1 species